rnacentral:rRNA from 1 species
GAUGAACGCUGGCGGCGUGCCUAAUACAUGCAAGUCGAGCGAACAGACGAGGAGCUUGCUCCUCUGACGUUAGCGGCGGACGGGUGAGUAACACGUGGAUAACCUACCUAUAAGACUGGGAUAACUUCGGGAAACCGGAUCUAAUACCGGAUAAUAUAUUGAACCGCAUGGUUCAAUAGUCAAAGACGGUUUUGCUGUCACUUAUAGAUGGAUCCGCGCCGCAUUAGCUAGUUGGUAAGGUAACGGCUUACCAAGGCGACGAUGCGUAGCCGACCUGAGAGGGUGAUCAGCCACACUGGAACUGAGACACGGUCCAGACUCCUACGGGAGGCAGCAGUAGGGAAUCUUCCGCAAUGGGCGAAAGCCUGACGGAGCAACGCCGCGUGAGUGAUGAAGGUCUUCGGAUCGUAAAACUCUGUUAUUAGGGAAGAAAAAAUGUGUAAGUAACUAUGCACGUCUUGACGGUACCUAAACAGAAAGCAACGGCUAACUACGUG